GGGUUGUGAGGUUAAGCGACUAAGCGUACACGGUGGAUGCCCUGGCAGUCAGAGGCGAUGAAGGACGUGCUAAUCUGCGAUAAGCGUCGGUAAGGUGAUAUGAACCGUUAUAACCGGCGAUUUCCGAAUGGGGAAACCCAGUGUGAUUCGUCACACUAUCAUUAACUGAAUCCAUAGGUUAAUGAGGCGAACCGGGGGAACUGAAACAUCUAAGUACCCCGAGGAAAAGAAAUCAACCGAGAUUCCCCCAGUAGCGGCGAGCGAACGGGGAGCAGCCCAGAGCCUGAAUCAGUGUGUGUGUUAGUGGAAGCGUCUGGAAAGGCGCGCGAUACAGGGUGACAGCCCCGUACACAAAAAUGCACAUACUGUGAGCUCGAUGAGUAGGGCGGGACACGUGGUAUCCUGUCUGAAUAUGGGGGGACCAUCCUCCAAGGCUAAAUACUCCUGACUGACCGAUAGUGAACCAGUACCGUGAGGGAAAGGCGAAAAGAACCCCGGCGAGGGGAGUGAAAAAGAACCUGAAACCGUGUACGUACAAGCAGUGGGAGCACGCUUAGGCGUGUGACUGCGUACCUUUUGUAUAAUGGGUCAGCGACUUAUAUUCUGUAGCAAGGUUAACCGAAUAGGGGAGCCGAAGGGAAACCGAGUCUUAACUGGGCGUUAAGUUGCAGGGUAUAGACCCGAAACCCGGUGAUCUAGCCAUGGGCAGGUUGAAGGUUGGGUAACACUAACUGGAGGACCGAACCGACUAAUGUUGAAAAAUUAGCGGAUGACUUGUGGCUGGGGGUGAAAGGCCAAUCAAACCGGGAGAUAGCUGGUUCUCCCCGAAAGCUAUUUAGGUAGCGCCUCGUGAAUUCAUCUCCGGGGGUAGAGCACUGUUUCGGCAAGGGGGUCAUCCCGACUUACCAACCCGAUGCAAACUGCGAAUACCGGAGAAUGUUAUCACGGGAGACACACGGCGGGUGCUAACGUCCGUCGUGAAGAGGGAAACAACCCAGACCGCCAGCUAAGGUCCCAAAGUCAUGGUUAAGUGGGAAACGAUGUGGGAAGGCCCAGACAGCCAGGAUGUUGGCUUAGAAGCAGCCAUCAUUUAAAGAAAGCGUAAUAGCUCACUGGUCGAGUCGGCCUGCGCGGAAGAUGUAACGGGGCUAAACCAUGCACCGAAGCUGCGGCAGCGACGCUGAUGCGUUGUUGGGUAGGGGAGCGUUCUGUAAGCCUGCGAAGGUGUGCUGUGAGGCAUGCUGGAGGUAUCAGAAGUGCGAAUGCUGACAUAAGUAACGAUAAAGCGGGUGAAAAGCCCGCUCGCCGGAAGACCAAGGGUUCCUGUCCAACGUUAAUCGGGGCAGGGUGAGUCGACCCCUAAGGCGAGGCCGAAAGGCGUAGUCGAUGGGAAACAGGUUAAUAUUCCUGUACUUGGUGUUACUGCGAAGGGGGGACGGAGAAGGCUAUGUUGGCCGGGCGACGGUUGUCCCGGUUUAAGCGUGUAGGCUGGUUUUCCAGGCAAAUCCGGAAAAUCAAGGCUGAGGCGUGAUGACGAGGCACUACGGUGCUGAAGCAACAAAUGCCCUGCUUCCAGGAAAAGCCUCUAAGCAUCAGGUAACAUCAAAUCGUACCCCAAACCGACACAGGUGGUCAGGUAGAGAAUACCAAGGCGCUUGAGAGAACUCGGGUGAAGGAACUAGGCAAAAUGGUGCCGUAACUUCGGGAGAAGGCACGCUGAUAUGUAGGUGAGGUCCCUCGCGGAUGGAGCUGAAAUCAGUCGAAGAUACCAGCUGGCUGCAACUGUUUAUUAAAAACACAGCACUGUGCAAACACGAAAGUGGACGUAUACGGUGUGACGCCUGCCCGGUGCCGGAAGGUUAAUUGAUGGGGUUAGCGCAAGCGAAGCUCUUGAUCGAAGCCCCGGUAAACGGCGGCCGUAACUAUAACGGUCCUAAGGUAGCGAAAUUCCUUGUCGGGUAAGUUCCGACCUGCACGAAUGGCGUAAUGAUGGCCAGGCUGUCUCCACCCGAGACUCAGUGAAAUUGAACUCGCUGUGAAGAUGCAGUGUACCCGCGGCAAGACGGAAAGACCCCGUGAACCUUUACUAUAGCUUGACACUGAACAUUGAGCCUUGAUGUGUAGGAUAGGUGGGAGGCUUUGAAGUGUGGACGCCAGUCUGCAUGGAGCCGACCUUGAAAUACCACCCUUUAAUGUUUGAUGUUCUAACGUUGACCCGUAAUCCGGGUUGCGGACAGUGUCUGGUGGGUAGUUUGACUGGGGCGGUCUCCUCCUAAAGAGUAACGGAGGAGCACGAAGGUUGGCUAAUCCUGGUCGGACAUCAGGAGGUUAGUGCAAUGGCAUAAGCCAGCUUGACUGCGAGCGUGACGGCGCGAGCAGGUGCGAAAGCAGGUCAUAGUGAUCCGGUGGUUCUGAAUGGAAGGGCCAUCGCUCAACGGAUAAAAGGUACUCCGGGGAUAACAGGCUGAUACCGCCCAAGAGUUCAUAUCGACGGCGGUGUUUGGCACCUCGAUGUCGGCUCAUCACAUCCUGGGGCUGAAGUAGGUCCCAAGGGUAUGGCUGUUCGCCAUUUAAAGUGGUACGCGAGCUGGGUUUAGAACGUCGUGAGACAGUUCGGUCCCUAUCUGCCGUGGGCGCUGGAGAACUGAGGGGGGCUGCUCCUAGUACGAGAGGACCGGAGUGGACGCAUCACUGGUGUUCGGGUUGUCAUGCCAAUGGCACUGCCCGGUAGCUAAAUGCGGAAGAGAUAAGUGCUGAAAGCAUCUAAGCACGAAACUUGCCCCGAGAUGAGUUCUCCCUGACCCUUUAAGGGUCCUGAAGGAACGUUGAAGACGACGACGUUGAUAGGCCGGGUGUGUAAGCGCAGCGAUGCGUUGAGCUAACCGGUACUAAUGAACCGUGAGGCUUAACCUUACAACGCCGAAGCUGUU
rnacentral:rRNA from 1 species